rnacentral:rRNA from 1 species
ACACUGACGUCGCGACGCAUAUCAAUAAGCGGAGGAAAAGAAACUAACAAGGAUUCCCCUAGUAACGGCGAGUGAAGCGGGAAGAGCUCAAAUUUGAAAUCUUAAAGGGUUUCCCUUUACGAAUUGUAGUUUAAAGAAGUGUUUUCUGUUGAGGUUUUGGUAAAAGUUCUUUGGAAUAGGACAUCAUAGAGGGUGAGAAUCCCGUAUUUGACCUUUACUUCCAACUUUGUGAUACACUUUCAAAGAGUCGGAUUGUUUGGGAAUGCAGUCCAAAAUGGGUGGUAAAUUUCAUCUAAAGCUAAAUAUUGGCGAGAGACCGAUAGCGAACAAGUACCGUGAGGGAAAGAUGAAAGGAACUUUGAAAAGAGAGUUAAACAGUACGUGAAAUUGUCAAAAGGGAAGCGUUUGACACCAGUGUUGUUUUUCUGAAAAUCAAUUAAAGAACUGUUUAUGCUAAGCUGUUUAGACUUUAUCAGCUAUCUGUUUAGUUUUGAGCCUUUCUUUAAUGCACUUUCCAGUUAACAAGUCAACAUCAAUUUCUUUUGCUGUAAAAAAGCUUGAGGAAGGUGGCUUGAGAUUCGUCUUAAGUGUUUAUAGCCUCCUGCCUAUGCAGUCGGAGAGAUUGAGGUCUGCAGCGUAGAUCCUUCGGGGCUAAAUGCAUUUGUGCUAAGUUAUAGCAUUUCAUAGACAACUUGUUGACUAUGAUUUGUCCUGUAGCUUACUCGCUUAUGUUAUUUUACCUACGCUUAGGAUGUUGAACUCUAUCACACACAG